AUGAACGCUAGCGACAGGCCUAACACAUGCAAGGUCGAGGGGCAGCACAAGGAGCAAUCUGAGGUGGCGACCGGCGCACGGGUGAGUAACACGUAUGCAACCUGCCUGUAAGCGGGGAAUAACCCGUUGAAAGACGGACUAAUACCGCAUAAUACUAAAUUACUGCAUGGUAAUUUAUUUAAACAUUUAUGGCUUACAGAUGGGCAUGCGCAUGAUUAGCUAGUUGGAGAGGUAACGGCUCCCCAAGGCAACGAUCAUUAGGGGUUCUGAGAGGAAGGUCCCCCACACUGGUACUGAGACACGGACCAGACUCCUACGGGAGGCAGCAGUGAGGAAUAUUGGUCAAUGGACGAGAGUCUGAACCAGCCAAGUCGCGUGCAGGAAGAAUGUCCCUAUGGAUUGUAAACUGCUUUUGCAGGGGAAUAAAGUGCAUCACGUGUGAUGUUUUGUAUGUACUCUGCGAAUAAGGAUCGGCUAACUCCGUGCCAGCCGCCGC
rnacentral:rRNA from 1 species